CCCUACUACAGUGAGAUGCAGCCUUCAGCCUACUACAGUAAGGUACAGCCUACUACAGUGAGAUAUAGCCUACUACAGUGAGAUACAGCCUACUACAGUGAGAUGCAGCCUUCAGCCUACUACAGUGAGAUACACCCUACUACAGUGAGAUGCAGCCUUCAGCCUACUACAGUAAGGUACAGCCUACUACAGUGAGAUAUAGCCUACUACAGUGAGAUACAGCCUACUACAGUGAGAUGCAGCCUUCAGCCUACUACAGUGAGAUACACCCUACUACAGUGAGAUGCAGCCUUCAGCCUACUACAGUAAGGUACAGCCUACUACAGUGAGAUAUAGCCUACUACAGUGAGAUACAGCCUACUACAGUGAGAUGCAGCCUUCAGCCUACUACAGUGAGAUACACCCUACUACAGUGAGAUGCAGCCUUCAGCCUACUACAGUAAGGUACAGCCUACUACAGUGAGGUACAGCCUACUACAAUGAGAUACAGCCUACUACAGUGAGAUACAGCCUACUACAGUGAGAUAUAGCCUACUACAGUGAGAUACAGCCUACUACAGUGAGAUGCAGCCUUCAGCCUACUACAGUGAGAUACAGCCUACUACAGUGAGAUACAGCCUACUACAGUGAGAUGCAGCAUUCAGCCUACUACAGUAAGGUACAGCCUACUACAGUGAGGUACAGCCUACUACAGUGAGAUACAGCCUACUACAGUGAGAUACAGCCUACUGCAGUGAGAUACAGCCUACUACAGUGAGAUGCAGCCUACUACAGUGAGAUGCAGCCUACUACAGUGAGAUGCAGUCUACUACAGUGAGAUGCA